GACGAACGCUGGCGGCGUGCUUAACACAUGCAAGUCGAACGGUGAAGGAAUAGUUUUCUCUUCUGCUUCAGUGGCGAACGGGUGAGUAACACGUGAGUAACCUGCCCUUGACUCUGGGAUAACCUCUGGAAACUGCGGCUAAUACCGGAUAGGAGACCGAGCUGCAUGGCUAGGGUUGGAAAGUUUCGUCGGUCGGGGAUGGACUCGCGGCCUAUCAGCUUGUUGGUGGGGUAGCGGCUUACCAAGGCAACGACGGGUAGCCGGCCUGAGAGGGUGACCGGCCACACUGGGACUGAGACACGGCCCAGACUCCUACGGGAGGCAGCAGUGGGGAAUAUUGCACAAUGGGCGAAAGCCUGAUGCAGCGACGCCGCGUGAGGGAUGACGGCCUUCGGGUUGUAAACCUCUUUCAGCAGGGAAGAAGCGAAAGUGACGGUACCUGCAGAAGAAGCACCGGCUAACUACGUG
rnacentral:rRNA from 1 species